GACGUAGGGCGCGAGCGUUGUCCGGAUUUAUUGGGCGUAAAGAGCUCGUAGGCGGCUUGUCGCGUCGGCUGUGAAAUCCCGUGGCUCAACUGCGGGUCUGCAGCCGAUACGGGCAGGCUAGAGUUCGGUAGGGGAGACUGGAAUUCCUGGUGUAGCGGUGAAAUGCGCAGAUAUCAGGAGGAACACCGGUGGCGAAGGCGGGUCUCUGGGCAUUAACUGACGCUGAGGAGCGAAAGCAUGGGGAGCGAACAGG
rnacentral:rRNA from 1 species